UAUCUCUGUAGAGUCUGCAUAUCAAUAAGCGGAGGAAAAGAAACUAACUAGGAUUCCCUCAGUAACGGCGAGUGAAGCGGGAAGAGCUCAAAUUUGAAAUCUUCAAGGUUCUACCUUGACGAAUUGUAGUUUAAAGAAGUGUUUUCUGUUGGAGUUUUGGUAAAAGUUCUUUGGAAUAGGACACCAUAGAGGGUGAGAAUCCCGUAUUUGACCAUUAUUUCCAGCUUUGUGAUACACUUUCAAAGAGUCGGAUUGUUUGGGAAUGCAGUCCAAAAUGGGUGGUAAAUUUCAUCUAAAGCUAAAUAUUGGCGAGAGACCGAUAGCGAACAAGUACCGUGAGGGAAAGAUGAAAAGAACUUUGAAAAGAGAGUUAAACAGUACGUGAAAUUGUCAAAAGGGAAGCGUUUGACACCAGUGUUGUUUUCUCGAAAAUCAAUUAAAAAAGGCAGGAUUUUGUGUUGUAUUGACUUUAUCAGCUUUCUGCACUCUUUUCUUGUCUUUUUUAAUGCACUUUUCGUUUAACAAGUCAACAUCAAUUUCUUUUGUUGUAAAAGGGUCAUUGGAAGGUGGCUUUCUUUUCGGAGAAAGUGUUUAUAGCCUUUGGCCUCUGCAAUCGGAGAGAUUGAGGUCUGCAGCGUAGAUCCUUCGGGGUUAGAUACAUUUGUGCUAAGUUAUAACCGUUUCAUAGACAACUUGUUGACUAUGAUCAAUCCAUGUAGCUUACUCGCUUAUGCUAAUUUUACCUACGCUUAGGAUGUUGAAGAUGUAGCACAUCAU
rnacentral:rRNA from 1 species